UACAAAGGUCUCAAGCGUUGUUCGGAUUCAUUGGGCGUAAAGGGUGCGUAGGCGGCGCGGUAAGUCGGGUGUGAAAUCUCGGAGCUUAACUCCGAAACUGCAUUCGAUACUGCCGUGCUUGAGGACUGGAGAGGAGACUGGAAUUUACGGUGUAGCGGUGAAAUGCGUAGAUAUCGUAAGGAAGACCAGUGGCGAAGGCGGGUCUCUGGACAGUUCCUGACGCUGAGGCACGAAGGUCAGGGAAGCAAACGGG
rnacentral:rRNA from 1 species